AACGCACAUUGCGCCCUUUGGUAUUCCGAAGGGCAUGCCUGUUCGAGCGUCAUUAUCACCCCUCAAGCCCCCGGCUUGGUGUUGGACGGUUGGUGGGCGGCCCUCUGGGCCACCACCCCUCCCAAAGACAAUGACGGCGGCCUCGUUGGACCCCCGGUACACUGAGUUCUUCACGGAGCACGUACUGGAUUAGGGCCCGCGGGACACGGUCUGCCUCCCCUCAGGGAGAACUUUUCAAUGGUUGACCUCGGAUCAGGUAGGGAUACCCGCUGAACUUAA
rnacentral:misc_RNA from 1 species